rnacentral:rRNA from 1 species
CUACGGGUUGCAGCAGUGGGGAAUAUUGCACAAUGGGCGAAAGCCUGAUGCAGCAACGCCGCGUGAGUGAAGAAGGCCUUCGGGUCGUAAAACUCUUUUCUUGAGGAAGAAUAUUGACGGUACUCAAGGAAUAAGCCCCGGCUAAUUACGUGCCAGCAGCCGCGGUAAUACGUAAGGGGCAAGCGUUAUCCGGAAUCACUGGGCGGAAAGGGUGCGUAGGUGGUCAAAUAAGUCAGAAGUGAAAGGCUAUGGCUCAACCAUAGUAAGCUUUUGAAACUGUUUGACUUGAGUGCAGGAGAGGAAAGUGGAAUUCCUAGUGUAGCGGUGAAAUGCGUAGAUAUUAGGAGGAACACCAGUGGCGAAGGCGACUUUCUGGACUGUAACUGACACUGAGGCACGAAAGCGUGGGGAGCGAACAGGAUUAGAUACCCUAGUAGUC